CUCUCUCUCUCUCUCUCUCACACACACACACACACACAAACACACCUUCCUCUGUCUCUAGGCAUCCCUUCUGUAUAGUCAAGAGGAAAUCGUCAUGCCCUCACACCAUUCUGCCUCUCUCUCUCUCUGCCCCCUUCCAAUUCGAACUCAAUCAUCUUAACAUGGCCGUGCUCGCACAGGCACAUCUUUCUCUACUCAUAUUUUCUGCAUUUUUCUCAACGAUUCUUCAAAUGCUGAGUCUUUUAAUGUUGAAUUUGCCCCCGCACUUUACGUGUUUGUGGAUUCCAUGUUGAUAGUGGUAAUCAGCUCUCUCAAAUAGUCCAUAUACUAUUCGGGGGAGCCGAUUGCCACCAUCUACAGUGGAAUCUCCGAAUACGUACAGAGCUGGGGAAAGUUUGACGUUGAAUGACUGAGCAUUUGCAGAAGCUUUGAGGAAAAUGUAGAGGAGUAUUAGAAGAGCAAGAUUUUCCUGCGGGGAUACGGCCAUAUCGGGGGAUGAUUAAUACGACGGCGAAGAUUUGCUGAGCUCUUUUCAAAGAAACGCGAAAACAAUUCAAAGGUAUCCUUAUUCCUUGCAAAAAUACAACGGACAUGUUUUCGUAAAGAGAUGAAGAUCAAAUUAUGGAGAGCAGGAGCAAUCUGGGGGCCAAAAACGUAAAGAGCUGCAGGAGCAAUCUGGGGGCCAAUUUCUUGUGCAGGAGAGGGUAAUGAAGUGAACAGGAAGAAGAUCACAAAUGAGGAAGAGAUGAGUUGGAGUUACGGUGGUGGAGAAUAGAAUUGCUGAGGAGCUGUGUUCAUAUUGUUAAGCAAUGGGUUUGUUCCUUAAUUCAGAUUAGAGAGAUCAGUUAGUUAUUAAGAGGUGUUUAGCUGCAUGUGUUUGCAUGUUUUGUUGGUAGAAGGUAGUUGCUGUAAUUAGCAGAGUUUGUUAAGACGUAGUGAGUUGUAAUUGGUCUGGUGCUUAUAUUGGGGGUUUUAGGAAUCGUAUGGGCAUAGCUCUUCUUUGUUUGUAUCCAACAGAAUUAUGGAGAAAAAAAAUCAACUCUUCUCUCUCA